AAAGGUUUGGUCCUGGCCUUUUAGUUAGUUAGAGGUAGAAUUACACAUGCAAACAUCCCUGAGCCAGUGUCAAAUCCUGCGAAGUUAAGACUAACUCCAAAGGGAGUAGGCAUCAAGUACAUACUAUAGCUGAAGACGCCUUGCCAAGCCACGCCCCCACGGGAUCCAGCAGUGACAAAUAUUAAGCAAUGAACGAAAGUUUGACUAAGCCAUGCCUCUCUAAGGGUUGGUCAAUAUCGUGCCAGCAACCGCGGUUAUACGAUUGACCCAAGCUAAUUAACCUCGGCGUAAAACGUGUUACUGGGCAGACAAAUAAAUAGAAUUGAAACCCACCUAAUAUGUGAAAAUUAAUUGGUGUUACUAAAAUCAAUGACGAAAGUAAUUCUAACCUACCUGAUGCACGACAGCUAAGAUCCAAACUGGGAUUAGAUACCCCACUAUGCUUAGCCGUAAACUUUAAUACUUCUAAACGAAAGUAUUUGCCUGAGAACUACGAGCCAUCGCUUAAAACUCAAAGGACUUGGCGGUACUUUAUAUCCGUCUAGAGGAGCCUGUUCUGUAAUCGAUAAACCCCGAUACACCUCACCACUCCUUGCUAAUUCAGCCUGUAUACCGCCAUCUUCAGCUUACCCUAAAAAGGAGACAAAGUCGGCACAACAAUUCCCGUAAAAACGAUAGGUCAAGGUGCAGCCAAUGGAGUGGGUGUAAUGGGCUACAUUUUCUUGCUAAGAACAUUACGUUACCCGCUAUGAAAUUAGAGGACAAAGGAGGAUUUAGCAGUAAAUUAAGAAUAGAGAGCUUAAUUGAACAGAGUAAUGAAGUAUGCACACACCGCCCGUCGCCCUCCUCAAACUAAAUAAACGAGACUUAUACAUAAUUACAUCAAACUUUUACUAGAGGAGGUAAGUCGUAACAAGGUAAGCAUACUGGAAAGUGUGCUUGGAAUAAA
rnacentral:ncRNA from 1 species